rnacentral:tRNA from 1 species
GUCCUCGUAGCUUAAUGGAUAGAGCNNAGAGCACCUGCUUGCGGAGCAGACGGUUGCGCGUUCGACUCGCGCCGAGGACA